rnacentral:lncRNA from 1 species
GCCUGUGCACCGGGGUGGAGCCUCGGGAAUUUCAUCAUGUUUGCAGCGGGGAGGAGCCUGGCCCUUCCUUUUCCUGUGUGGAACCUGGGAUUCAAGCUGUGGGCGGGAAGUGCUCUAUCAGGGACUCAAGCCUUGGGAGACUCCCUCUUUCCCCUUUACUUCUUUUUCACCCAAUAAAACCCUGCUCACCCUCUCCAUCGGUCUGUGAACCUAAAUUUUCGUGGCUGUGGGACGGACAAGUACCCUGUCUUUAACUGAACUAUGGAAAAGUCCUGCAAUAUUUUUGGCGCCCAACGUGGGGACUCGAGAAGGGGCACCCUGAAGGCUACUUGUUAAAGAAUUUAGAGCUACAGGAUGGAAAGAACCUGGAUCCUACCUAAGAACCUCCUAGGAGAGCCACCCUUCAGAAACAUUUGCAGUGGAUUCUGAAUACGAUUUUUUUUUUUUUUUUUUUUUUUUUUUUUUUUUUUUUUUGCCGAGCACGGUGGCUCAUGCCUGUAAUCCCAGCCCUUUGGGAAGCUGAGGUGGGUGGAUCACUUGAGGUCAGGAGCUCAAGACCAGCCUGGCCAACAUGGUGAAACCCUGUCUCUACUAAAACUACAAAAAUUAGCCAGGUGUGGUGGCACGUGCCUGUAAUCCCAGCUACUGGGGAGACUGAGUUAAGCUACUGGGUUUUGACGAAGCUCAUUACAGCAGUUAGCCUACUUCAGGGUUUCUCAGCCUGGGCACUACUGAUAUUUUGGACUACAGAAUUCUUUGUUAUGGAGGGCUGUCCUAUGCAUUGUAGGGUGUUGAGCAGCAUCCCUGGCCUCUAUCCUGCUAGAUGCCAGUAGUAACCUCUCCAGUAGCCAUGACAACCAAAAAUGUCUCCUGACAUUGCCAAAUGUCACCUGCAAAAUCGCCUCCGAUUGAGAACCAGCAGCCCACACUGGCCAAAACAUCACCAUCAUUGCUAUCAUCAUCAUCAUAGGAUAUUGAUAGUCUAGUCUCUCAUGUUCCCCUUGAAAUCACUGCAAAAGGACUCAAAGUUCCAAAAGAGGUCCAGCCCAGUUUUUUUAGGAGAAAAAAGUGAAAUGACACUAAAAUUUAAGAAAAGGUAAGGGAUCAAGCAGUAAACUCAAAGUUAUAGGAGACCAAAAAACAAAGUAAGAACCAAAAUAAAUAUAAUCCUUUUUUAAAAAAGCUAGUUUGUGUAGUCCCAGCUACUAGGGAGGCUGAGGCAGGAGAAUGGCGUGAACCCGUGAGGUGGAGCUUGCAGUGAGCUGAGAUCGCGCCACUGCACUGGGCAACAGACCAAGACUCGGUCUCAAAAAAAAAAAAAAAAAGGCCGGUUUGAUCACUUUGGUAACCUAGAAUAAAAUGAUUAAAACAAAAACAAACCCAAAUAUCUGGGUCUAGGAAUUUCAAUGUGUCUAACAAAUGCUUAUAGAAUAUCUACCAUGAGAUAAGCAUUGGGCUGAAUAUAACUUGGUAAAUAAAACAGAUAUAAUCCCUGCCCUCAUAGAGAUGAAAGGUAAAUAAAAAUAUGGAGUUUUUUGUUUUUGUUUUUGUUUUUGUUUUUUAAGACAGUGUCUUGUUCUAUUGCCCAGGCUGGAGUGCGGCAGUGAGAUCAUAGUUCACUGCAGCCUUGAACUCCUGGGCUCAAGUGAUCAUCCGUACUAGCUAGGACUAUAGGUUUGCACCACCAUGCCCAGCUAAUUUUUGUAUUUUUUUUAUAGAGACGCGGUCUCACUUUGUUGCCCAGGCUGGUCUCAAACUCCUGGCCUCAAGGAAUUCUCUUGCCUAGGCCUCCCAAAGUGCUUGGGAUUACAGUCAUGGGCCAUUGCACCCAGCCAAAAUAUGAUGGAUUUUUCAAACAGCUUAAACACAGUCAUGAAUUGACCACUGCAAUAGGCAGACUUCUAAAGAUGUCCCUGCAGGAUUCCCAUCCCUGGGCCGGGCAUGGUGGCUCACGCCUGUAAUACCAGCACUUUGGGAGGCUGAGGCAGGUGGGUCACUUGAGGUCAGAAGUUGAAGACCAGCCUGGCCAAUAUGGUGAAACCCCCUGUCUCUACUAAAAAUACAAAACUUAGCCAGGCAUGGUGGUGAGUGCCUGUAAUCCCAGCUACUUGGGAGGCUAAGGCAGCAGAAUUGCUUGAACCCGGGAGGCAGAGGUUGCAGUGAGCCAAGACUGCACCAUUGCACUCCAGCUUGGGCGACAGAGUGAAACUCCCUCUCAAAAAAAAAAAAAAAAAGAUUCCUGUCCCUGGUUAUCCAAUUAAACACUAGAUUAGGUGCUGCCAUGAAGAGACUUAGCAGAUGUAUCAAGGUUACUAGUCAACCGACUUUAACAUAGGAAGGUUAUCUUGAAUUAUCUGGGUAUGCCUACCCUAGUCACAUGAGGUUGUAAAAACAUAAGUGGAAGGUGGAAGAAUCAGUCAGAGUGAGAAAGCAGAAGAGGAUGCAGGAGCUAUGCUGCAGAGGGAAAGUCAGAUUCCAAACACAAGAAAGAAAAAGAUAAGAUGAAUCAUUGAUGGUUCUAAAAUGUAGGAGGCUCUGUGUGAGGACCAGAAAGAGGCCUGAGGGAGCUAAGGGUGGAGCCCUGCCUAACAGACAUAAAGAAAAUAGGGACUUCAGUCCUACAACCACAAAGAACCAAAUUCUGUCAAUAACCUGAACGAGUUUGGAAGUUGGUUUUUCUGCAGUCUCCAGUAAGAAACACAGCGCUGCUGAUACCUCGAUUUUAGCCCAGUGAGACAUGUAUUGGGCUUCUGACUGCCAGAUAAUAAAUGUGUGUUGUUUUAAGUCACUAAAUUCAUCAUAGUUUGUUAUGACAGUAAUAGAAGACUAAUAAACCAUUAUGCAUUAAAUAUCACAGAAAAGAAAGGGUUUAAGAAAAUAGGUAUUAAAGUAUGCCUUAUCACCUUAUCAUUCAUCAAUCUGAGGUUUACUAAACACUUGAUGGGUGCUCAUUAGUGGAAUAAAUUAAUGCACUCAUAUUUUCAUUCAUUUGUUAAAAAUAUGCAUACAGUGCCUCCUCUUUGAUGGUCCCUGGGUGAGGUAUUGAGGUUACAGUAGUGAAAUAGGUAUUAUCCUCUGUUUAUAACAGCUCAUAAUGGAAGUGGAGGACAGAAACAUGUACAUUCAACAAUAAUGCAAAGAACAUAAUAAAGAUAUUAACAUCAUCAUUAUAAAACUAUCAGUAAAAGUGUGAAUAAGGGAGUACAGAAUAAUAAUUACAGCUGACAUCUAUUGAGUACUUGUCUCAUUUCCCUUCACAACAAGCCUAUGAGACUGUAUUAGUCCAUUUUCAUACUGCUAUGAAGAAAUACCCGAGAUGGGAUAAUUUAUAAAGAAAAAGAAGUUUAAUGGACUCACAGUUCCACAUGGCUGAGAAGACCUCAUAAUCAUGGCAGAAGGUGAAGGAGGAGCAAAGGUACAUCUCAUAUGGUGGCAGGCAAGAGAGCAUGUGAAGAAGAAUUGCCCUUUAUAAAACCAUCAGAUCUCAUGAGACUUAAUCACGAGAACAGCAUGGGAAAAACCUGCCCCCAUGAUUCAAUUACCUCCUACCCACUGGGUCCCUCCCAUGACAUGUGGGGAUUAUGGUAGGUACAAUUCAAGAUGAGAUUUGGGUGGGGACACAGCCAAACCAUAGCAGAGACAGACCCAUGAUUCAUACCAUCUUGCAGAUUAAGAAGCUGAGGUACAGGCAGGUGAAGAAACCAGCCUAAAGUUACUAUCGAAGGGUGAGGAGGCCUCACAGAAGGGCUGAGAUUUGGGAUGAAUACCUUCAUCAAGAAAAGGAGGAGCCAGUAGAAGAAACUGCAUUGGUAAAGCCAGAGAUUCAGGAAGAAGGUGGAUGGUGUGGCAUAUUCUGGAACAGGGCUCUGUAUUGGCAAGGAGGGGUGGCAGAUGAGGUUGGAGCCUAAGUUGUCCUGACUUGAAAGACUUGAACCUCUCAGCAGUUUGAAUUUCGUUCUAAAGCUAUCAAAAGAACCUAUUCAAGAGCAUGAUACGGUAAAUCAUCUUCAGCAACUCACAUAUCAUUUUUAACAUUGUUUCAGGGGAUAUUAGUGGACACUCUUAGGAACGCAGUGUAUAGCCCACAAGUAUAAUGACACUUAUUAAUACAACUUAGAAAACACCCUUUGAAAAUGCAUCAAAACCCUAAAAGAUUCGAUUAACUCUAUGGAAAUGAGGAUAAAGGGUAGAUGCAUGUAAGAAUCCAGCUGUCUUCUAUCUACAAAGCUCUUCAUAUCCACAACCACAGAGACACUGCUCAGCUUCUGAAUCGCCUUAGUUCACAAUAAAAUAGAAAUAAAUCAUAAUAAAAUAAAAUAGGGAAUAAAUCUAUCUGUUGGCUUUGAGAAAAUUUCUCAGUAGCAACAAACCAACUGCUCAAAUCAGAAUCCCCCAAAAUAAAUAAAUAAGGUACCUAAGAGGGAAUGCAUGUGUUGACCAAAAAACUAAAAAAUUCUCCCAUUUCUGUCUGACGUUGAAAAAAAUCAUAGGUAUUUGGCAUUUUAGCCUAUGCUGUUGAAUGUGGUAGCCACUAAUUAUAUGUGGCUAUUUAAAUUUAAAUAAGGUAAAAUUAAAUAAAAUUUAUUUUCUCAGUCCCAUUAGCCCCAUUUCAAGUCCUCAACAGCCAUAUGAGGCCACUGGCCACUGUACUGGUCAGCACAUGUAUCAGACAUGUCCAUUGUUGCAGGAAUAUCUGUUGGGAAAAAAAUGAACUACUUAUUUAGAUAAAAGUAGUGAUUUGUUAGACAUGCCUAAUAAAAUUCAGUUUAUUUUAAGAUUAUGUAAUUAAAUUCAGACUUACUUAUAAGAGUCUGAAUUUUCAUUUUAAUCGUUUGUAUGUAUUUCAUUCCUCUUAGUAUGAAGAGAGUCUAUAUCAAGAGACUCUCUAUGGAGACAGGAGCCAGUUUGUAUUAGGCCCCAGCUCUGUCUUGGGCUCUGUGCUAGGCAUUUCAUAUCUGUUAUGCUACUUAAGGCUCAUGACUCCCUGUGAGAUAGGCAUGCUUAUUCUCAUUUUUCCCUAAAUGGGGGGCUGUGACAAGGCUGAAGCAAAGAGAGGGCACAACAUCUUUUCAGGGUUAACACUUGAGAAACAUCUAUUUCUUCUUAAGUAGCUCUACUGCUGCUUAGAGAAGUAGAGUAUGUAGACAAGACAGUUAAAUUUUCCACAGAUGGGGUUUACUUAGAGGGAGAUAAGAUUUCUUUUGCACACAAUUGUAGAUUUUUUUUUAAAUGGUCAAAAUCCUCCUGUUCUAGCAGUAGCUAAGAAGUGACUCGGGGAAGCAUUCAACAAGUAGGAAAGAAGUCUGCUCAGAUGGAGGCCCUGAAUCAGAGAUGCCUGUCAUCUGUUCCCAAAGGCUCCAAACUCCUGCCACAAAUACACUGAGGGUUCCUCUCUCUAUAACUUCUUCUCUUUAUUUUCUCUGGAAGGAAUGUACUUGAUACUUAUUUUUAAUCUGAGUCUCCUUCCACAAAAAGUGUAGAGGAUGUGCUACCCAGCCCCUAAAGUUUUGCCUCUUGGUAUUCACACUUGUGAAGUCAUUUUCCAUGUGGAAGAGGGCUGACCUGUGUAAGCAAUAAGAUGCUGCAGAAAUGUAUGACUUCUGUGGCUAGGUUAGAAGAGCCAUGAGUCCUUAAAGCUUUCCCCCUUUUCUCUCUCUUGAGUGGCUGUCUCUGGAGGAAGCCAGUCACCAUUCUAUGAAGUUACUCAAGCAGCCAGUGGAGAGGCCCACAUGGGGAGGAACUGAGGCCUCCCACCAAUACUCUCCAUCAAGCUGCCAGGCAUGUGGUACCUUAGAAGUGGAUCUUACAGCCCCAGUCAAGCCUUCAGAUGACUAUAGAGCCAGAACCACUCUACUAAGCCUGUCCCAAAUUCCUAACUCACCAAAAUAACAUGAGAUAGUAAAUGUUUACUGCAGUUUUAAGCAGUUGAGUUUUGGCAUAAUUUGUUAUGCAGCAAUAGGUACCUAACCCAGAGGGUUUUUCCAGCUUUGCCUAUGGGCAAGUCUACAGAUGAAACAAGCUGCUUUUCAUAUUUAGUGCUCUCUCUCACAAUUAUCAGGAGAUAUAAUUAUCUUACCAUCCAGGCUGUGAUUCUUGCACACAAGCACCAAGUCAUCCAUUAUUGCAGUCUCCCUUCCCAUGCUUGAUGAAUAACUGGGUUCCUGUGAUUUUUCCUCUUUUCUUUCCCCAUUGACUGUUGAAAUUGUUUGCCUCAACUAUUGAGUCCCUUCUCUUCAGUUUGCCUCCUUUUCUUUUCCUCCUACAUGAGCAGAAGCCAGGAAAUUGAAUGUAUUCGAUCACAAAGUAUGCAUGACCCUCAGCAACAUGAGCCUACAAUAGUCUUUUUAAUGACCAGAGGAAGGUUGUGAGGACUCUUAGUUAAUUUGUUAUGAACACCCACUCCCAUAAG